GUGCUCACUCUGGCAGCACAUAUUCUAGAACUGGAACGAUAUUGAGAAGAUUAUCAUGGCCCCUAUGCAAGGAUGACACACAAAUUUGUAAAGUGUUGCACAGUUUU